UACGGGGGGGGCAAGCGUUGUUCGGAAUUACUGGGCGUAAAGGGUUCGUAGGUGGCCUACUAAGUCAGACGUGAAAUCCCUCAGCUUAACUGGGGAACUGCGUCUGAUACUGGGGGGCUUGAGGACAGGAGAGGAACGCGGAAUUCCAGGUGUAGCGGUGAAAUGCGUAGAUAUCUGGAGGAACACCGGUGGCGAAGGCGGCAUCCUGGACCAAUAUUGACGCUGAGGAGCGAAAGCCAGGGGAGCAAACGGG
rnacentral:rRNA from 1 species